rnacentral:rRNA from 1 species
UACAGAGGGUGCGAGCGUUGUCCGGAAUCACUGGGCGUAAAGGGCGCGUAGGCGGCCUGGCAAGUCUGUGGUGAAAGCUCAGGGCUUAACUCUGAGUCGGCCAUCGAUACUGCGAGGCUCGAGUCUGGUAGAGGCAGAUGGAAUUCCGGGUGUAGCGGUGAAAUGCGUAGAUAUCUGGAGGAACACCGGUGGCGAAGGCGGCAUCCUGGACCAACACUGACACUGAGGAGCGAAAGCCAGGGGAGCAAACGGG